rnacentral:rRNA from 1 species
GACGAACGCUGGCGGCGUGCUUAACACAUGCCAGUCGAACGGAAAGGCCCUGCUUUUGUGGGGUGCUCGAGUGGCGAACGGGUGAGUAACACGUGAGUAACCUGCCCUUGACUUUGGGAUAACUUCAGGAAACUGGGGCUCAUAUCGGAUAGGAGCUCCUGCUGCAUGGUGGGGGUUGGAAAGUUUCGGCGGUUGGGGAUGGACUCGCGGCUUAUCCGCUUGUUGGUGGGGUAGUGGCUUACCAAGGCUUUGACGGGUAGCCGGCCUGGGAGGGUGACCGGCCACAUUGGGACUGAGAUACGGCCCAGACUCCUACGGGAGGCAGCAGUGGGGAAUAUUGCACAAUGGGCGGAAGCCUGAUGCAGCAACGCCGCGUGCGGGAUGACGGCCUUCGGGUUGUAAACCGCUUUCGCCUGUGACGAGGCGUGAGUGACGGUAAUGGGUAAAGAAGCACCGGCUAACUACGUG